CUCUCACUAAAAGUCUUACUUGUUCCAACCCCUCUCCCUAUAAUUUAAUUAAGCUUUAAAAGCAAUCUCAUCUCUACCAUCAAUAGUUCCCAUUAUAUAAUAUGGCCUUUUACAAGUCCAAAAAUCAUCAACUUGGACCACAAACAAGUAUAACUAAUUGUUCAUCUUAGUGGUGGUUCCGGUCAUAUCUCCACCCUUCUCCGCCGCACCGUUCCGACUACAAAAAUCUCACACUUCCUCAAUCUCAAGACAGGGAAGAUGAGUAGGAGAAAUGGAAAUGGUUCAAGGCUUGACCUUAAGCUGAAUUUGUCACCAUCACCAAGGGUGAACCACGUGGCACCACAAGUGGAGUCGCCGACCAGGUCGUUGACGUUGUCUCCGACGAACUCGUGCGUGUCAUCUGAAGAUUCGUCGGGGGGCCAACAUGGUUCCAACAGCCCCGAAGCGAUAACUUCGAUGCUGUUGGUUGGUUGUCAAAGGUGUCUAAUGUACGUUAUGUUAUUGGAAGUUAAUGAUCCACCAAGGUGCCCAAAAUGCAAGAGUACUUGUUUGCUUGAUGUUAUCUAUGAGAAAAAAUAAGAAGUACUAGAAGGUCGAUCAUCAGUUAGUCAAGAUCAAAUCCACCAGACUCUCGUAUUAUUAGGUUUAUCAAUCUUCUUGUCCUACCCCCAACCUCACCUUGAAAAAAAAAUAUAUGAAAAAUUAAAACCUUUGUACCC